rnacentral:rRNA from 1 species
UACGAAGGGGGCUAGCGUUGCUCGGAAUCACUGGGCGUAAAGCGCACGUAGGCGGGUUGUUAAGUCAGGGGUGAAAUCCUGGAGCUCAACUCCAGAACUGCCUUUGAUACUGGCGAUCUCGAGUCCGGGAGAGGUGAGUGGAACUGCGAGUGUAGAGGUGAAAUUCGUAGAUAUUCGCAAGAACACCAGUGGCGAGGGCGGCUCACUGGCCCGGUACUGACGCUGAGGUGCGAAAGCGUGGGGAGCAAACAGG